ensembl:snRNA U6 U6 spliceosomal RNA
GCGCUUGCUUUGGCAGCACAAACGCUAAAAUUGGAACGAUACAGAGAAGAUUAGCAUGGCCCCUGGGCAAGGAGGACAUGCAAAUUCGUGAAGCAUUCCAUAUUUUU